rnacentral:lncRNA from 10 species
UUGGCUGGGUGCGGUGGCUCACGCCUGUAAUCCCAGCACUUUGGGAGGCCGAGGCAGGCGGAUCACCAGGUCAGGAGAUCGAGACCAUCCUGGCUAACAUGGUGAAACCCCGUCUCUACUAAAAAUACAAAAAAAAAUUAGCCAGGCGUGGUGGCGAGCACCUGUAGUCCCAGCUACUCGGGAGGCUGAGGCAGGAGAAUGGCGUGAACCCGGGAGGCGGAGCUUGCAGUGAGCCGAGAUUGCACCACUGCACUCCAGCCUGGGCGACAGAGCGAGACUCCGUCUCAAAAAAAAAAAAGUUUUAUCGGAACACAGCCAUGCUCAUUCCUGUAUGUACUGUCAGUGGCUGCUUUCACGUGACUGAAGCGGAACUGACAGUGUAACAUGCAAAACAGGUAAGAAAAGAUUGACCAUCUAGCCCAUUGUAGAAGAAAGUUUGCCCACCUCUGACCUAGAUGAUUAGUCAUAGGUAGUUGCAUUUGCAAAUUGACUAAUUUUCUUUUUACACUCCAGCAUGAAUACAUGCAAUUGAACAGCUAAUAUAGGUGUGUGUAUGUGUGUGCACAUAUGUAUACUAAAAUAUUGUAAAAUGUCAAGUGUUGCAAAUAACAUUGUUAACUGAAAGUGACGGAAUGGCCGGCCAAAUUUAUAUUUAUUGUGUCAAAAACAAAAUGUACCAGACAAUUAAGAUAAUUUUACCCAGGCCACUGCAGUAGGGGUAACGUUUAUUAAUGAGAAAUGUCUCAGAGAGAGGAAGAACUAGGGUUUUAUAAAUGCAGGUGAACAAGGGAGGGGUCCAAGAAUUACGGGGUUCAUGAAGAAGAGUGGAAGUCUAUGGGGAAGGUUGCUUUGCCUCCAGCCAUUUCCUGGGUUAAGAAAGAGGAGGAAGAUUCUGUAACUGUUUCUGUGUUCUAGGAGCACGGGGCUCAGGGAAAGUUCAGCAUUGUCAGUUGUCAACAAAAUCACCCUGGAGAAAGCUUCUGGAUUGACUGUGAGAAGCUUGGCAGAAGGUGCUGCGGCCUGGUGGCUGGCUCAGCAGGAGGCCUGGGAUUGAAAGCUCUCGGUUUGUACAAG